GACGAACGCUGGCGGCGUGCUUAACACAUGCAAGUCGAACGGAAAGGCCCUGCUUUUGUGGGGUGCUCGAGUGGCGAACGGGUGAGUAACACGCGAGUAACCUGCCCCUGACUGUGGGAUAACUUCAGGAAACUGGGGCUAAUACCGGGUAGGAGCUCCUGCUGCAUGGUGGUGGUUGGAAAGAUUCGGCGGUUGGGGAUGGUCUCGCGGCUUAUCAGCUUGUUGGUGGGGUAGUGGCUUACCAGGGCUUUGACGGGUAGCCGGCCUGAGAGGGUGACCGGCCACAUUGGGACUGAGAUACGGCCCAGAAGCCUACGGGAGGCAGCAGUGGGGAAUAUUGCAGAAUGGGCGGAAGCCUGAUGCAGCAACGCCGCGUGCGGGAUGACGGCCUUCGAGUUGUAAACCGCUUUCGCCUGUGACGAAGAGUGAGUGACGGUAAUGGGUAAAGAAGCACCGGCUAACUACGUG
rnacentral:rRNA from 1 species